UGGGGGUUAUUGCACAAUGGGCGAAAGCCUGAUGCAGCGACGCCGCGUGGGGGAUGAAGGCCUUCGGGUUGUAAACUUCUUUUGCUCUGAACAAGGCGCACCAUGGGGUGUGUUGAGUGUAGGGGUUGAUUAGCGCCGGCUAACUACGUGCCAGCAGCCGCGGUAAUACGUAGGGCGCGAGCGUUGUCCGGAAUUAUUGGGCGUAAAGGGCUUGUAGGUGGCUGGUUGCGUCUGUCGUGAAAGCUCAUGGCUUAACUGUGGGUUUGCGGUGGGUACGGGCUGGCUUGAGUGCAGUAGGGGAGGCUGGAAUUCCUGGUGUAGCGGUGGAAUGCGCAGAUAUCAGGAGGAAUACCGGUGGCGAAGGCGGGUCUCUGGGCUGUUACUGACACUGAGGAGCGAAAGCAUGGGGAGCGAACAGG
rnacentral:rRNA from 1 species